UAGAGUUUGAUCAUGGCUCAGAUUGAACGCUGGCGGCAGGCCUAACACAUGCAAGUCGAGCGGAAACGAGAAUAGCUUGCUAUUCGGCGUCGAGCGGCGGACGGGUGAGUAAUGCCUAGGAAAUUGCCUUGAUGUGGGGGAUAACCAUUGGAAACGAUGGCUAAUACCGCAUAAUGCCUACGGGCCAAAGAGGGGGAUCCUCGGACCUCUCGCGUCAAGAUAUGCCUAGGUGGGAUUAGCUAAUUGGUGAGGUAAUGGCUCACCAAGGCGACGAUCCCUAGCUGGUCUGAGAGGAUGAUCAGCCACACUGGAACUGAGACACGGUCCAGACUCCUACGGGAGGCAGCAGUGGGGAAUAUUGCACAAUGGGCGAAAGCCUGAUGCAGCCAUGCCGCGUGUAUGAAGAAGGCCUUCGGGUUGUAAAGUACUUUCAGUUGUGAGGAAGGGGGUAGUGUUAAUAGCGUUAUCUCUUGACGUUAGCAACAGAAGAAGCACCGGCUAACUCCGUGCCAGCAGCCGCGGUAAUACGGAGGGUGCGAGCGUUAAUCGGAAUUACUGGGCGUAAAGCGCAUGCAGGUGGUUCAUUAAGUCAGAUGUGAAAGCCCGGGGCUCAACCUCGGAACUGCAUUUGAAACUGGUGAACUAGAGUGCUGUAGAGGGGGGUAGAAUUUCA
rnacentral:rRNA from 1 species